UACGUAGGGUGCAAGCGUUGUCCGGAAUUAUUGGUCGUAAAGAGCUUGUAGGCGGUUUGUCGCGUCUGCUGUGAAAUUUCGGGGCUCAACCCCGAACUUGCAGUGGGUACGGGCAGACUAGAGUGUGGUAGGGGAGACUGGAAUUCCUGGUGUAGCGGUGAAAUGCGCAGAUAUCAGGAGGAACACCGAUGGCGAAGGCAGGUCUCUGGGCCAUAACUGACGCUGAGAAGCGAAAGCAUGGGGAGCGAACAGG
rnacentral:rRNA from 1 species